UAAAACCACUCUCGGCAACGGAUAUCUCGGCUCUCGCAUCGAUGAAGAACGUAGCGAAAUGCCAUACUUGGUGUGAAUUGCAGAAUCCCGUGAACCAUCCAGUCUUUGAACGCAAGUUGCGCCCCAAGCCUUCUGGCCGAGGGCACGUCUGCCUGGGUGUCACAA
rnacentral:rRNA from 1 species